UGUAUAUUAUAUCGUAUAAAAUAAAACACUUGAGAUAAUGAUUGUUUUACUCCUGAUUUUAUUUAUUCAAUAAUAUAUUUUUUACUCAUUUAUAGGCAUAAUUUUAUGCUGAACUGUUGAUAUAAGCAAUUGUAAUUAUCAGACUUAGCAUAACGCCCUUCAAAAAGUUAUCAAUAAAUCCAUGACACUAAAAUUUCAUAUAUAAAAUACAAACAUUUAUCUAACUCGAGUGCCAUUUAAAAUUACUCUGAUUAGAUUUAUGUUAAAUUUAACAAACACGUUUUGGCACUUUUGUUUUUAGUAUUUUUACUUGAAGGUUUACAAUACAAUUAUUAUUUAGUUGUGUAAUUACUGGUUGUAGUGCUAGUUUGUUUUAUUUUUAUUUACAAAAAAAAAAACGUAUUCAAUCUAUACAUACAGUAUAAUAUAUUAUACUGUUUUUAAACAAAAUUACAAAUUUUACAAGUAUAUUUUUAUUAUUUUCUGAAUAUUAUAGUACUUAUAUCAAUAUAUUACCAUAAUUUCUAGGGUACACAUUGUGUAUGCAUAAUUUAGUUUGAAAAUAAUUAAUAACUUAAAACAUACAUAUUUUAUAUUACUUACAGUUAAAGCGAAUUUGAUUUAUAAUUUGUUUAAGUGCUCAAUAAAACAUAGUUAAAAAUAAUAAAAUGAUGGAGUUGGCGUUUAAGAGUUUUUGAGCAUUUUUUACUCUAAAAGCUAAAAAAAAAAAUCAAAAAAGUGAUGAGAACAAUUUGGACGUGAUGCAUAGUACGAAUUAAGAAGUACGGCCAUCGGGCCCCGAACAUGGCGAGCGAGCAGAUGUCUGAAUAUCAACUCAAUUCCAUCAUAAUUAUGUAAUCGUCGGACAGCAGCAAUAACUUUGUUCGGGAAGAAGGCGAGCGGGUUCACGGUAAUGUUCGGAAAACGGUAUUUUACACUAUUUCAUUGAUUUUUAUCCAAGGAUCCAACUAAUAAUAAAUUACAUCCACGUGUACAAUUACACUGCGAGGGAUGGAGACGACACCUUCUUUAAAAAAAAAUGGUUCUGUAUAGGAAUCUACUUUGCGAUUUCAAUCUCAUCCACAACCCUAAUAAUAUGUGCGCGGACAUAUCCAUCAACGAAUACCUCCGACAACCGAGCUGCUCAAGCACAAACAAGAACAUCGAGUGAAACCUUUAAACAUUCGAGAAUCUAAUGUACGAACAUAAAUCGCGGUUUGACUAUUUUCGGAUGCCCGCGGGCGCGUGUUAACGACGUCGGGCGUUCCAUAUAAACGAAAUAUAACACCUGACGUCCGUGUCCUAACGAAUUUAAUAUAUGUUAUUAAAGCGGCCUCCGGUGAUUGAGAGGAUCAGCGAAAAGUAGCAAAAAAAACGAACUCCGAUUUCCCAGUCAUUCGGCGUGUGUAUAUUGCGUGUAAUAUUAUGCUGGCAGGCGCAUAAAUUAUAGAUAAAUCUCUGCGAAUCGAUAAACCGUAGCUAGAUGCAUAAAUAGCGUAUCGUGUGUUCAACGUUUAUAUACACCACACUACAUGAUAUUACUAAGUAUAAAACGUGUGAAGGAAAUAUGAACAUAAAUAUUAUAUAAAAUGUGCACGUGUUACUGGGCACAUGACAAUAUAAUAUAAAAGUAUAAAACCCGUUUAUCGAUAAAAUUGUAAGACUUACGACGAAGUUACGAUCGUUGACUGUACAUGCCAUUUGUUAUACGCACACCCACGUUAUGCUUGCGAGUUGUGACCCGAGAACAAUUGAAACCACUGUUGAAAACAAUAGGGUUUGUAGGAGGACAACGCAAGUCGUGUGAGGCGCAAAGCCUAAAAGGUUGCAACGGUCAACAAUAUAAAACCUUUUUUGUUUACCACAGUGUAUAGAAAUAAACGUUCACGUCAAAUCCCAGCAUUAAAGGUCUCUUUAGCUUCCGACAAUAAUUCUCGCAUCUCGGUGGAAUUAUAUAAUAUUUUAUUGUGCGACUAAAACCCUCAACGCUUUUUCAUGUACAAACGUGUACAAUUAUUUAACCGCCGAAGCAGCCAACUUAUUUUUAAUACAAAUCGAGUGCUAACUGAAAUCGGAAUAAUCAUAAUAUGAUAAUAUAUUGUAUACAUUUUAAAUGAGAUUUGAGAACAUUCCAUUGGUAGUCGACGUGGAAUUCGAAAACCGACGGAAACGUAUAUCGUUUGUGAGACUACUGAACUCUUUGAACGAUUUCCGUUUACGGCCUACGGUGGAUUUUCCGCAAAAUAAAUGUUUACAAAACGAAUCACUUGUCCGAUUUCGGUGGAGACUGCGUGUAUUUAAUACGGUGACAAACUCUGCAAUACCAAUCCUGGUUAUGAUGGUUGGGAGCUGGUUGUGGGCAGACUGACAUACAAGAAAAAAGAAAAACCAAUCACGAUUUGCAGGCUUGUGGUUCGCAGGUGCACCUGUUCGAGGCUCCCCUGCAAUAACCUGGACUCAGGUACAGACUGACCGGUUGGCCUGAAUGCAUAAUGAAUAGUGCGAGCUCGCGUCCUGUGCUCUUUAUUUUAUUUAUUCGCUCUUCGGAUUAUGUUUCUCUCCUGGCGCACAUGUAAUAAACAUUUCGCGCAAAUCUCCGACGCAGCGCCGGCUUUCCCGCCGUACAUAUAAAUUACCAUUUCGCCAUCGUAGUCUGUGAUAAUGAUGAUGUUAUCUGAGCGGGGCAGCAAUAUUAAAUAUAGUAUAGACGGGACAGAUGAGUGUGCUGCUUUUUCCGAUGCUGAUGCACGAUGCACAACAAACAGAUAGAUAUAGACAGAUAGACAGAUAGAGACGGUGGAGGGGGUGACUAGGAUACUAUAUAUAAAAAUGGAAAAAGAGAGUGAGAGAGAUUGAGAGAGAGGAGGCAUUUGGCAGGCGCACAGCCUGGUUUUUUUUCACCGCACACAUGCCUGUACGUAAAAUGAGAAAUGGUAUACACGCGAAAAUCACGCUUUAUACACGUGCUCGCCGCGUCUGGCAGAGUUAAUACAAAACUGACCGCCGCGUUACACCCGGACUCGCCGAGAUAUUUAUGAUACAAUAAUUGUAAGAUGUGACUUUAAAACGUUAAUGAUUAUUAUUUACCACCAACCGUUGCGAGUGUUGUAAAAACAUUAUAACUUAUAAUGUUGUAGUGAUUCAGUGUUAUUACAGUUUUAUCAACUAUAAUAUAUGGGUAGGCAAACAGAUAAAUUAAAUUUUCAUUAUUAUUGUCCAGUGGACACACUACGCGAUGUCCGUUUUAAUUACAAUAAUAUACCAUACAGACAUACAGUUACGUGAUAACGUUUAUGGAUAUUUUUUGAAAAUAGGUAUCAUGAAAAUAAAUUUUAAGAACACGAGUAAUUCGAUAAAGUUAAGAUGAUAUACUAUCAUGAAUGAAUGAAUGUUAAAAAAUAAUCAGUUUGUAAAGAUUAUGUUGAGACGUCUACGAAACACGUUAUUAUACCUCGUAAAUUAACCACCGUAUUCUACUUCGUUUUUAUUAUUUUUUAAACUUUAAAAUAAUUUUUAUUACAAGUUGUAUAGUACGAGUGUACGACACACACUUGUGUGUGUGCCAUGUGUACACGAACCGAAGCCUGCUGGUUAGCACGUUACAGAGGUUAUGGAGCGCGUUACGGGCUGUAGGUUUUGGACGUCCGGUAACGGGCGGUCCGACUGGUAUUGAUCUGGAAAACGGACGGGGACCGGAGGCGGUGUGGAGCCGGCGCAUACACGCCGACCUCGCCAAUAACAGAACUCAUUGUCCGAAAAAAUAAAUAAAUAAAAGAACUAUCGUUGCUAAAAAGAAUGAAAAAAAUAAAAUGAAAAACACAAUAAACACUUCUGUCUCCUAUAUACAUUUGUGCACCGCAGCUGUAUGCUUGUAUAUACGACGAUAGAACCUAUACUAUUACACUGUAUCAUAUCCAUGGGCGUAACUAAAAUGUAGUAGUAACUUGUGACAGGAGCUAGUCCUGCAAAAUCAAAAUCAAAAAUAAGGCUUGGGUGGGCUAGGCCGUUACCGCUUCCGCACCUAACGUUAACAAAUAAUUAAGGUCUUUGCAUAAAACAUAAAUAAUAACAUAGACUACGUUUAUUGACUUGCAACUUGCAGUUAAAACUCAAUAAAACUAUCAUAUAAUUAUACCUGUAUCGGAGUGGAAAUAAUUACCAGUAAGGCACUAACGCAAGAUCAAACUAUAUUAUAAAUGUAGCCAUUGUAGGUACAAUAAUAAUAUGUAUAUUAAACCUAUUAAUAAUUCAUACAUUUAACUUUAUGAUGAAGGAUAUUUAUAUCAUAGGUACCCUAAUAUAAUCAAGACCACUAAUAAGAUAAUAUUAAAUAAUAACACAGGAAAUCAAAACGUAACUCGUAAUUUUAAUUUUAUUAAUUUGUUGUAUAAAUAUUAGAUGUGUUUUUUAAAAAUAUUAAAUUACUAAUGAGAAAUUUAAAUUCCUGAUUCUUUAGAGGACUUGGUACAAAAUCCAAAAGAGACUAGAGCAUUUUAUAGAGGAAAAGCUUUCCUUAGUCAUGCUUUAUGCCGAUGAUCAUAAUACACAGUGAAAAUAGUGUGCCAGAGUGUAUGGUUAUAUUUUAUAUCCUUUUAACCUAUAAUAUAGACGUUAGGGAUAUCAGGAUAUUAUUUACCUAAAUAUUUGGUACACAACACUUAUGUGUAUUUUAUAAUAACGCCGUGCCAUAAUACUCAUGGUGUAUUCACUCACUCGAUGGCGGUACAAGACGUAAAUGGUGUGACACAUUGUCUCCUGACGAAGAACUCCGAGAGCAAAAAAAUACGAAAACAAACGUAUUCUUUGGUAAAAAAAACGGUAAUGACCGAGUGUACAUAUCGUUUGAGUGCAAACACACACAAAAAAUAAUGUACACAAACUAACCCGAGAAGUACGUGUCGACCAUACAAAUUCGGUUUCGCCGCAAACACAAUAUGACAUAAAAUACAUCAUAUUAUUCAUAUUAUUAUAUUGUUAACGUCGACGCGUCAAAGUUAUCGUCGUCGCCGCCGUGUCAAAAUCGAUUUUUGGCCGUCUAUAAACGCAGGGUAAAUACACACACGUACGUCGUAUAUAUAUGGCUAUAUAAAAUAUAAUCUGUGUAAACCUAUUAUUGUUAUAGAUAUGUACACGGCAUUUCAACCGUUUAUCGUGGACGCGUGUCAUAUUAUAUUAUACAAAUAUACUUAUUGCAUCGUUAUAUCGGCCAAAUGUUGGUGAAAUUGUUCUCGAGUGGAGGUGCAGCUGGGUGUAUAAUAUUUUAUUUGAAUUUUCCUUAUUUACUUUUGGACACCGAAUGCGUCAAGAAAUGCGUAUUAUUAUAUUGGUGUUAUUUUUUGUUGACAACGAUGUGCGGUGUUGUCCUCUUCUAGGGUUUCUUUUUCAUAAAUCACUUUUUGCAGAAGAAAAUGAAAGGCCAGUGCAGAUCACUGUAUUCAAAUCAAACACUGACAGAUAUAGUAUGCAGAGGUCAUUUUUUGACAUUUCUGGGGAAAUUGUGACGAUCAAAUGAAAGCAAGUACAUUGAUUUCAACUGAAUUUUGUCCAUUUGUCAAUCCGCUGGUUGCUUUCAAAGCUCCAAAGUUCAAAAACGUUCACUCCAAUGACCCAUUUGCAAUGUAAGGCUUACAUAGUUUGUUUCGGAUAAAUUAUUAUCCACGGUGACAAGAAGUAAAGUGAAAAUAAUAUGAUUUUUGAAAUAUUUAUAUGUACAUAUUACCUAGUUAUGACAGGAGUACCGCGUACAGACAAUUAGAUAAUUCGGUCAUUUACAAAUGGAUAAUAAUUAAAAUAUAAUAUACGGCAUCCCCGAUAUACACUACAUACACCCUCCAAAACAUGACUGACGAGGUUGGGUGAGUAGACGAAGUGAAGCCACGGUGGUGCACUGGUUUCCAUUUUGAAACAACACCGUACGGACAGGGAACCACUUUUCGGUGCACGUAUGAAAAGCAUUUAUCACUGUUUCGACGGACGAAUUCAUGGCACUCCGAAUAAUAUUUAGAUUGUCGAUUUGUCUUCAAUCCGGACGGUUCCUCCAUAAAUAUUAUUAGUCUAUACGCGAUACAUAUUGUAUAUAAGUAGUUGAAUUUCAUAAUCAUUAAUCGGCCGCCGUGCUCCAAUAAUUUGAUGUGACUGGCAAGGUCGGCAUUUGCAAACUGACUGAUUUGUUGAGGAAACAUUUGAUUUAAUAUUGUUGAUACAAGCAUUGUGGAAUUAUAGAUUUGUACUGUAGUUUCGAAGUUCGGAUGUUAUUUAGACGUCUAGCCAUCCAUACAAAACUUGGUGUAAGUGGUAUAUUAUGUGAAUUUGUGUGUUUGUUGUGUGAAGGAACAGAAUAUUAUUAUACCGGCCUACAUUAUUAUGUAUUUAUACUAUUUUUAAAUACACGCUAUUAUUGUAGGAUUCGUCUACUGUCGAACGGAAUGACGCAGAUAUUAUAUAAAUAGGUAUAGGACAGGCGUGUACAACAACAAUAUAUUAUACGUAUUAUAUAGGCAUUCCAGUAAAAUGGUAUUUCUAAACUUACUUUUAUUCCAGCGGCAGUAUGUAUUAACAGGCAUAAUACAAACUAUAAAACAAAACAACCGCUUUUUUAUGAAUUCAAUAAUAUGUUUUGCUUUUUGAAUAGCAUUUUAUCAGUCGUGUUUAACAUUAUUAUUUAAUUUGUUCGAUCUGUAUUCUGUAUGUAGGAAAGUUAACAAAACGCCACUGAGGUAGUUUUCAUAUUUAUUUAUCUAAUCUCAUGUGUCUUUUUCGCAAUAGGUAUACAUGUUAUUUUUGUCUAUGAUAGAACACAAUAUUAAAAUUAUGUGAUAUUGAAAUUGAAUUGAGAUAAGAAUAAAUAAGUCGAAAUGAGCUGUUUUUUUCGGUUACCUACAUUGAUUGGUCAACACUUUUGCCUCUUUUCGGUACCUCCAUUUAAAACCGAACUUACGUCACUGUUGAGGCGGUAGUACUGAAAUCACCACUGGCUUCCGUAAACGCAGAAAACAACUACUACCAGAGCGGCGAGCUCGUUUGUAUAAGCACACACGUGGUAUGCACACAAUGAACUAGCGAAAGCUUUCAAAUCGAUAUUUGGCGGCUGGUAGAACCGAAUGACGCACGCUGGAGGGAAAAAAUAAAAUAAAAGCAGUACCCGAGACGACUCGGCCGCGACGGUUAAGGCCAAAGUCCGACGGAAACGACCGUGUCGGGGGGGCGGCGGCGGCGGUGGAAAAUUGCUAAGCCCGCACACUCACGCACGCGGGUUAUGUUGUUUCACUCGGAAACCAACCCCCCUGUCGGAGUUUAAAUUCGUGUUUAUUUUCCUCCGGUUACUUAUAAAUCCCUAAUCGCUCGCACUCAAAUCGGUCUGAUCGGCUGUAAUUGAUUUUCGUAACGAGUGGUUAGCAUAAAAUUAUUGGUUCGUCUGCAUAGCAAAGAAGACCAACUGACCUAACCCAACCCGUUGUUGUAGUACAUUCAAUGGUUCAAGGUUGGUUGAGUGUUCUAUGCUACGGUUUGGGAAAGGGGUAGGAACAGCGCACAAUCGCGAUUAUAAUUUAAUUGCAGGCAUAUACCAGGUACAGAGUGACGGACAUUAAAAUACUGUAGGGAAAUACAAGUGUCUAACUCGCCGGACGUGAUGAUUUAGCGAGAGAUCAUGGAGACUUUUCUACGAUUAUAUUUUUCUGCGAUAUGAUGAGUGCAGUUUUGUUAGAAUAUCAGAAGUCACUCGAAGUCAUAUUUUAAUGUGCCCUAGUGCGCUACGCCAAUCGCAACAUGAUCAUAAUAAUGAAAGAGAUUGAUAGAAUUAUAUCACUUCUUUUAUUAUUAUGCAAAUAAAAAAUAUUUGUAGGCCGGGGGGGUUCGAAAGAGAAAUCUCCAAUGAAACUGUUGAAUCUAUAAUUCGACAAAAACGUAAUCAACAUUUUUAAAUUUUUAGUCCACGAUAAGACAGAAAUAUUAAAUUUGUAAAGAAACGUAAACUCUUGUCGCGCGUGGCUAGCGACGUUUGCGCUAUUUACAAUGGAACAUUUUGUAGUGUCGUUAUUUUAAACGAUAAACCAACUGAACCGAACAAAGAUUACCGAAACAAAGCAGUAAUACAACACUUACAUUGCUCCAAAAAAAGUAAUGCUCUACAAAUACCGCGCUACAUCCAAUCAUUGUACGUAUUACGUAUACAACUGUACUCUUCAGUCUUCAGCACUUGCAUUUCUAUCGUAUUGAAAAUACACAUCAUUAUUAUUAUUAUUAUUGUGAUUAUUAUUAUGUACUACCGGUCUCGCACAAAAAUAAUUUGUUUGCACGCGAUUAAAUA